CAGUGGACUGGUAGCUGUUGAGCCUGGGGCGGUAGCCUG
rfam:Erwinia sp. Leaf53 contig_11, whole genome shotgun sequence.